UACGUAGGCAGCGAGCGUUGUUCGGAGUUACUGGGCGUAAAGGGUGUGUAGGCGGUUGUUUAAGUUUGGUGUGAAAUCUCCCGGCUCAACUGGGAGGGUGCGCCGAAUACUGAAUGACUUCGAGUGCGGGAGAGGAGAGUGGAAUUCCUGGUGUAGCGGUGAAAUGCGUAGAUAUCAGGAGGAACACCGGUGGUGUAGACGGCUCUCUGGACCGUAACUGACGCUGAGACACGAAAGCGUGGUAGCAAACAGG
rnacentral:rRNA from 1 species